UGCUCUUUUUUAUUUUAUUUUAUUUUUUAUCUUUAUUAACUUGAGUAUUUCUUAUUUACAUUUCGAUUGUUAUUCCCCUUCCCGGUUUCCGGGCCAACAUUCCCCCUAACCCCUCCCCCUCCCCUUCAAUAAGGGUUUCCCCUCUCCAUCCUAACCCCAUUACCACCCUCCCCCCAACAAUCACGUUCACUGGGGGACCAAGGGCUUCCCCUUCCACUGGUGCUCUUACUAGGCUAUUCAUUGCUACCUAUGAGGUCAGAGUCCAGGGUCAGUCCAUGUGUAGUCUUUAGGUAGUGGCUUAGUCCCUGGAAGCUCUGGUUGGUUGGCAUUGUUGUUCAUGUGGGGUCUCAAGCCCCUUCAGCUCUUCCAGUCCUUUCUCUGAUUCCUUCAACGGGGGUCCCAAUCAGUGGAUUGCUGCUGGCAUUCGCCUAUGUAUUUGCUGUAUUCUGGGUGUGUCUCUCAGGAAAGAUCUAUAUCCGAUUCCUGUCGGCCUGCACUUCUUUGCUUCAUCCAUCUUAUCUAAUUGGGUGGCUGUAUAUGUAUGGGCCACAUGUGGGGCAGGCUCUAAAUGAGUGUUCCUUCUGCCUCUGUUCUAAACUUUGCCUCCCUAUUCCCUGCCAAGGGUAUUCUUGUUCCCCUUUUAAAGAAGGAGUGAAGCAUUCACAUUUUGAUCAUCCCGCUUGAGUUUCAUGUGUUCUGUACAUCUAGGGCAAUUCAAGCAUUUGGGCUAAUACCCACUUAUCAAUGAGUGCAUACCAUGUGUGUUUUUCUGUGAUUGGGUUAGCUCACUCAGGAUGAUAUUUUCCAGUUCCAACCAUUUGCCUAUGAAUUUCAUAAAGUCAUUGUUUUUGAUAGCGGAGUAAUAUUCCAUUGUGUAGAUGUACCACAUUUUCUGUAUCCAUUCCUCUGUUGAAGGGCAUCUGGGUUCUUUCCAGCUUCUGGCUAUUAUAAAUAAGGCUGCAAUGAACAUAGCGGAGCACGUGUCUUUGUUACGUGUUGGGGCAUCUUUUGGGUAUAUGCCCAAGAGAGGUAUAGCUGGGUCCUCAGGUAGUUCAAUGUCCAAUUUUCUGAGGAACCUCCAGACUGAUUUCCAGCAUGGUUGUACCAGUCUGCAAUCCCACCAACAAGGUAUGCCGCUCUUUUUUUUUGUUUGUUUGUUUGUUUCUUUUUUUUCGGAGCUGGGGACGGAACCCAGGGCCUUGCGCUUCCUAGGCAAGCGCUCUACCACUGUGCUAAAUCCCCAACCCCAGUAUGCCACUCUUAUUUGAAUCUUUUGUGUGUUUUUUUUCCUCCCUGGGGCCUCCUCCCCCAUCCUCCACCCCUUCCUGCUGGUUUGCAUGCAACUCCUCAGGCUUGCCUGUGGAGCGUGCUCUGGGUUUGUAGGUCUGGCUAGAAUCCCCGGAGUUGCCUGUGCUGGUCAAGUUGUCCUCAAACUCACAGAAGUUUGCCUCCAUCUGUCUGCCAAGUGCUGGGAUCAAACUUGUGUUAUGCCUGGUCUACCUUUCCCUCCUAACGUUAACACUGACCUGGGUUUGAGGCCAGGGGUAUUCACAGUGUGGGAACCCUGGGAAGUGACUCACCAGGUAGGAUCCUGGGUUUCUGCAUCUGGAAGACACUUCAGGGUGGCAAGGAGCAGGUGUCCAGGCUGGCCCCUGUAGGUUUGAGUUCUUUACUGAGGGACUGCGGAUGGGUUUCCAGGGAGGGCAUUUGAAUAUGAAAUUCUGAGAAAAUAGCCAUGGAUUCCUUUUUUCUGAGAAAGGGGUUCAAUAAUAAUGAUUUUUGUCCCACCUAGGUUUCUAAAAUUUUUGUUUUGUUUUGUUUUGUUUUUCUUUUCUUUUUUUCGGAGCUGGGGACUGAACGCAGGGCCUUGUGCUUGCUAGGUAAGCGCCCUACCACUGAGCUAAGUCCCCACCCCCAGAUGUGAAUUCUUAAUAAGAGUAAAUUAAAACCACACGAGUUCAAGGAUGGGGUCUGGAGAGAGUAAACGUGCCACCCUUACUAGCACGAAGACCUGAGUUUGGAUUCCCCAGGACCCACACAAAAGUUAGUCUGCAAUCUUCACACUGAGGGCAUGGGGGGGGGUUAGUGAGUUCCAGGUUCAUCCAGCAAGAGACCUUGUCUUUAAAAAAAAAAAAAGGAGAAUGAUAGAAAAAUACAGUAGACAUUAGCCAGGUGUGGUGGUGCAUGCCCACCCCAGCACUCAGGAGGCAGAGGCAGGUGGAUGUCUGUGAGUUUGAGGCCACCUGGUCCACAGAGUGAGUUUCAAUAUGGUCAGAACUACAGAGUGAGAACCUUGUCUUGAAAAAGAAAAAAGAAAAAUACGCCGAUAAUCAGUUUCUGGCCUCCACGCACACAGGCUCAGAUGUGUGUGCAUGCACAUGCACACACAUACACGCACACACAUGCACAUGCACACACAUGCACGCACAUACAUGCACACACACGCACAUGCGCGCACAUACACGCACACACAUGCACAUACACACACGCACAUACACACACAUGCACACACAUGCACAUACAUGCACAUACACACACAUGUGCGCACAUACACGCAUGCGUGCCCACACACUCCCUCCAUGGACACCUCUACGGCCUCCCCAGCACAGAGCUCAGAGGUGACCCCAGGGUCACCUACAUAAAAUCCCACUUCUGACACUCAACAGCUGUGUCACCUGGAUUAGAUACCUCACCUGGCUGUGCUCGGUUUCCUUGUUGGUAAAUUAGAAAUAGUGUCUUCCCAGAGGAUUAUGGGAUUAAACACCAUCACAAAGGGCUGGAACCCAGAAACACGGUAGAGAGGGGCCUCAACUUUGCCUCUGUAUUUUGUUGUUUGAGACAGGGUUUCUCUGUGUAGCCCUGGCUGUCCUGGAUCUCACGCUAGAUCAGGCUGGCCUUGAACUCAGAGAUCCACUUGCCUCUGCUGAGAGAUUCUGGAACCCCUACUCUCCAUCUCCAUGUUUGGUGUGUCAGACUCUCUUCCUGUUUCUUCAUCCUCUUGAGCUGGAGACGGAGGUUCCUCCCACUCACCCUACUGGCCUCUCAGAGUCAGUGCUCACAUCCCUGCAACUUACCUCACAGCAUCUGGUCCUUUCUCUUCUGUUUUCCUCUUCAGAGCAUCCUGUCCUCAAGGCUCUGGUCCAUUGCUGCCUCACACAUGUGACCGACACACAGUCUGAUGUCUGACUCCGGCUCAGCCAGAAGGCCGGGAGCCAAGCCUGGAAUCUCGAAGAGCGCUGUAUUAAUAUAGCAUGUGGUCUGGCCCACCAUUUUCUCUUUUCUGACCUGGAGGAAGUUUUUGCCAGGGCACUCUGGUUCCCCAAGAAGACUGUUGUAGUUCUGGUGCAGCCUUACCACCAUAGACAGUGGGCACAUGGGAGGGUGGUGGAACGAAGGACCCAUUGCUUGAGGCCGUUCAGGUCCUUUGUCUCUGUCUUUCCUGGGAUCUAAGGUGACUGCAGGCAUGACUCAGGAAAAAGAGGACAAAGCAGAGCCAGACCAGUGACUGCCUCUCUCUCGGUAGCCGGCUGUGUGGGACCCCCAUGGCCAGCCUGGCUUUAGGACUGAGCCCAUACUGCCCAGUUGUGUGAACUUACCCUAUUUUGUACCUUCAUUUCCUUACCUAUAAAAUGUGUAUAAUUGUGGUUA